UACAGAGGUGGCAAGCGUUGUUCGGAAUUACUGGGCGUAAAGGGCGCGUAGGCGGUCUUAUAAGUCUCGUGUGAAAUCCCUCGGCUUAACUGAGGAACUGCACGGGAUACUGCAAGACUUGAGAUCGGGAGAGGGAAGCGGAAUUCCGGGUGUAGCGGUGAAAUGCGUAGAUAUCUGGAGGAACACCGGUGGCGAAGGCGGCAUCCUGGACCGAUACUGACGCUGAGGAGCGAAAGCCAGGGGAGCAAACGGG
rnacentral:rRNA from 1 species